rnacentral:rRNA from 1 species
ACGCCGAUCGCCUUGAGUUGAUCAUGGCUCGGAUCAACGCUGGCGGCGUGCCUAAUGCAUGCAAGUCGGGCGCGGACCCUUUCGGGGGUGCUGCGCGGCGGACGGGUGCGUAACACGUGGGCAACCUGCCCUGGGGUGGGGGAUAGCCGUAGGAAACCGCGGGUAAUUCCGCAUACGUUCGGGUCUCGACGGGGGAUCUCGAAGAAAGGGAGCAAUCCCGCCCGAGGAGGGGCCUGCGGCCGAUUAGCUGGUUGGUGAGGUAACGGCUUACCAAGGCGAUGAUCGGUAGCUGGUCUGAGAGGACGGCCAGCCACACGGGGACUGAGACACGGCCCCGACUCCUACGGGAGGCAGCAGCAAGGAAUCUUCCGCAAUGGGGGCAACCCUGACGGAGCAACGCCGCGUGGGGGAUGACGCCCUUCGGGGUGUAAACCCCUUUUCUGCGGGAAGAAGGUGGGGCAACCCACUUGACGGUACCGCAGGAAGAAGGACCGGCUAACUACGUGCCAGCAGCCGCGGUAAUACGUAGGGUCCGAGCGUUGUCCGGAGUUACUGGGCGUAAAGCGCGCGCAGGCGGCGGUGCUGGCCCGGCGUGAAAGCCCCCGGCUCAACCGGGGAGGGUCGUCGGGGACCGCACCGCUUGAGGGCGGUAGGGGCUGGUGGAAUGCCUGGUGUAGUGGUGAAAUGCGUAGAGAUCAGGCGGAACACCCGUGGCGAAGGCGGCCAGCUGGGCCGUCCCUGACGCUGAAGCGCGAAGGCGUGGGGAGCGAACG